rnacentral:rRNA from 1 species
CCUACGGGGGACAGCAGUGGGGAAUAUUGCACAAUGGGGGAAACCCUGAUGCAGCGACGCCGCGUGAGUGAAGAAGUAACUCGUUAUGUAAAGCUUUAUCAGCAGGGAAGAAAAUGACGGUACCUGAGCAAGAAGCCCCGGCUAACUACGAGGCAGCAGGCGCGGUAAUACGUGGGGGGCAAGCGUUAUCCGGAGUUACUGGGGGUAAAGGGAGCGUAGACGGGUGUGCAAGUCUGGAGUGAAAGGCGGGGGGUCCACCCCCGGACCGCCGUGGAAACUGGACGGCUGGAGAGGUGGAGAGGUAAGUGGAAUUCGUAGUGUAGCGGUGAAAUGCGUAGAUAUUGGGAAGAACACCAGUGGCGAAGGCAGCUUACUGGACUGGAACUGACGUUGAGGCACGAAAGCGUGGGGAGCAAACAGGAUUAGAUACCCGAGUAGUC